CAGCUGUAUGAUGAGGAUAUUAUCAUCUAUCUUCUGACCGGCCUCAACUCCAGCUAUGAUCUGCUCAUCACCUCGGUCACCACGAGGGCAGAGGCGAUCUCCCUCAACGAUCUGUACUCUCAUCUGCUGAACUUUGAGA
rfam:Triticum aestivum genome assembly, contig: Triticum_aestivum_CS42_TGACv1_scaffold_486686_6AS